GUUAUAUGGUCAAGCGAAUAAGCGCACACGGUGGAUGCCUUGGCGGUCAGAGGCGAUGAAGGACGUGGCAGCCUGCGAAAAGUAUCGGGGAGCUGGCAACAAGCUUUGAUCCGGUAAUGUCCGAAUGGGGAAACCCACCCGCUUGCGGGUAUCCUGCAGUGAAUACAUAGCUGCUGGAAGCGAACCUGGUGAACUGAAAUAUCUAAGUAACCAGAGGAAAAGAAAUCAACCGAGAUUCCGUAAGUAGCGACGAGCGAACGCGGACUAGCCCUUAAGCUGGAUUGGUUCUAGGAAAACGCUCUGGAAAGAGCGGCCAUAGAAGGUGAUAGCCCUGUAUCUGAAAGGGCCAUUCCAGUGAAGACGAGUAGGGCGGGGCACGUGAAACCCUGUCUGAACAUGGGGGGACCAUCCUCCAAGGCUAAAUACUACUGACCGACCGAUAGUGAACCAGUACCGUGAGGGAAAGGCGAAAAGAACCCCGGAGAGGGGAGUGAAAUAGAACCUGAAACCGUGUGCGUACAAGCAGUAGGAGCUCCGCAAGGAGUGACUGCGUACCUUUUGUAUAAUGGGUCAGCGACUUACUGUUCGUGGCAAGCUUAACCGUAUAGGGGAGGCGAAGGGAAACCGAGUCUGAUAAGGGCGCAUAGUCGCGGGCAGUAGACCCGAAACCGGGUGAUCUAGUCAUGCCCAGGGUGAAGGUGCGGUAACACGCACUGGAGGCCCGAACCCACUCCCGUUGCAAAGGUAGGGGAUGAGGUGUGAUUAGGAGUGAAAAGCUAAUCGAACCCGGAGAUAGCUGGUUCUCCUCGAAAGCUAUUUAGGUAGCGCCUCAUAUGUAUCCUCUCGGGGGUAGAGCACUGUUAUG
rnacentral:rRNA from 1 species